CAGGCACACCGUGUUGGCGUUGAGCACGGGCUCUUGGGGGAGGCGGAGGCCCAGGAUAUCGUUGGGUGCAGACCUGCAGGCAGGUCCCCUGCCCCAGCAGGCGCGCAGAGGUCCCUGUGGCUGGGGGUCCCAGCUCUCCAGGAGGGCGGGGCAUAAGGUGAGGGCUCACCUGGGCACGGAGGCAGCCAGCAGCAGUAGGAAGAAGAGAGCGCAGAGCGCGGGCCGCGGCUGGGGCCGAGGUCGGAGCCGCAGCCAGGGGCAAGGGCCAAAUGACUGUCAAGAGACCUCUCCAGCACUGUUCAAAAGCAUCAAUUCUUUGGUGCUUAGCCUGAAGAAGGCAGAAAUGUGAAUAAAAACCCUAUCCUGUACAGUGCUUCAUUUUUCUUCCAUGGACCCACAAUGCUGGCUCCAUUCUCCUGUCUUGGCUUCACUCCAGGGUGCCGAUGUGAUCUUCGAGGGCCGAACCAGGGAAUGACAGUGAUGCUGGGUACCUUCCAAGGCUGAACCCUAAGAAGACACUGCAGUUUCUGCCUUCAAGUUUGGCACAGUAUAAUUUGAAAUCCAGCUUUAUGCUGUGGCCACCAUGCUGUAAGGAAGCCCAAGCUAGUCACAUGGAGAGAAGGAGGCUACUGGAGAAACUCUGGGACACUGGAUAUACACGAGUGAAGCCUUUUGGACUGUCCAUCCCAGCAGAGCCACCAGCAGAAUCAGCCAAGUGGAUGACUACAACCAAUAGCUCUGUCACAAAGAGCAGAACCAUCCAGCUGAGUCCUGACAAAUUCCUGACCUAAAGGAUCACGAGGAAUAAUUACUUUGGGAUUGUUUGUUAUGCAGCAAUGGAUAACUGAAACAAUGAUAUUCCUACUGCAUAGGUAAAGACACUGGAACUAAGAUGGCCUAUAUCGACUUCUAAGCAACAGCACUGGUUUCCAACCCAGAGUGCCUGAAUCUAAUGUUCAUGCUUCGCUCUGCAUACCUUGAUGGGAGUAGUCAUUCUCCACUGCAGUUUUUGGACUGUGGGGACGUUGGGGGCUCCGACUCCCAGCCAUUUGGCUAUGUCCUCUUCCAUUCUCUCUGGAGAAAGAUGAGGGCCUUACCCUCAAUUCUGGAAAACCCAGAACCCCAAAUCUUCUUCUGUCCCUUUACCCUCACCAUUAACUUUCCAAGAGGAAUCAGAAAGGCAGAAAUGUAACCUUGGGACAGCUUUGCUUCACCUCCCUCUAAGUUUGAUUGGAAAUGCCAUUCUAAGUUCUUUCAGUGUUAGUGGGGGUGAAGUUAGUUUUGAUGACAACAAAAUCUGAUGUAACUAAGGACAUUUCCAUCAUAUUCUACCGUUUAUAAAGUUAACUUUUGAGUUUGGGUGGCCUUAUAAGUCUACCCUCAAAUUUCCCAGAAACAGAAAAACAAAUAAACUGCCUCCACCCAGAAUUAGGACAAGGGCUGACCUGAGAACUUAGCACACCACCAGAGGCUUCUGGUCCUCUUUCCCUAGAUCCCCUCAGUCUGCUCAUUAAAGGGGAUCCCAGUUCUCCCUCAGCUUGCAGAUACAGACCCUAGAUGUACACCAGAGUGAACAAGAAUAAUGCCAAGGGCGGGAUCUGGGACUCUUCACCACCAGGAGAGCCCAGUUCUGGAAGACAGAUGGGGACCCAGGUGAUGACCCCUGAGAGGGCCGUUCUAUCAAAACCAUCUCCCUUUACUCCUUUCAGAGCCUC